rnacentral:rRNA from 1 species
GAUGAACGCUGGCGGCGUGCCUAAUACAUGCAAGUCGAGCGAACAGACGAGGAGCUUGCUCCUCUGACGUUAGCGGCGGACGGGUGAGUAACACGUGGAUAACCUACCUAUAAGACUGGGAUAACUUCGGGAAACCGGAGCUAAUACCGGAUAAUAUAUUGAACCGCAUGGUUCAAUAGUGAAAGACGGUUUUGCUGUCACUUAUAGAUGGAUCCGCGCCGCAUUAGCUAGUUGGUAAGGUAACGGCUUACCAAGGCAACGAUGCGUAGCCGACCUGAGAGGGUGACCGCCCGCAGGAGAAGACAGCCCGGGCCCAGCCCCAGCGGGAGGGAGCAGGAGGGGAUCCGCCGGAAGGGGCAGAAGCCCUGACAAGAACCCCCCGGUGGGUAAAGAAGUGUUUCCAGUUCAAAAACCUUUUUUAUGAGGAAAAACAAAUUGGUAAGUAAAAUAGACCCUUUUGAGGGUACCCCAAUAGGAAGCCCCGGCCAAGCCCCGCC